rnacentral:ncRNA from 1 species
GAUUCAGAAGCCCAACGUAAAGCCCUUUGACUUGUUGGCUGGCAACCGCCUGACGCAGACGGUGCCCUCAAAGGAAAAUCGGUCACCGGCCACAAGGUACGGUGAAAGAGCGUAUU